rnacentral:sRNA from 1 species
AUUUUUGGCGUGGGAACGCGGGGAGUACGGCGGUGAGAAAGGCUGAAGCUGCCAGCGCCGCUGACGGGCCCCUUCCUGUAUUUUACACCUUUCGCGAAUUCCGCUCCUUUGGAAAGGGAAUAAUGGCUUUGGGAUGUUGUUCUGACACAGAGGAAAAGGAUAUUUCAGCAGCACAACAAUUCUCACUUUGAAAAGGAAAAAAGAAAACCAUUACCCACCUCUGGAGGCAGAACCCCUGAAUGGGCACCAAAGGACCCCCUGCUCCCAGGGUCCUCUCUAGCCUGGGGAGCUUUUCUUUCUUUUUCUCUUUUUCCAUUUUGACCUCUUUUCCUCUUUCCCCUCCCUAUCUGCCUCCAAGACCCUGGGAUAUCUUAACAUCCUUCUAUUGUCCCCUUUUUGAAUACUAUCAGGCCCCUUGCACAUGCACACACAUAGGGCAGCUACGGAGUGGUGCUUUGGGUCCCUCUGGCCUGUUCUUGCUGGCAGGUUGGGUUCAUCUGGAUAACUGGGCUGAUUUGUUGGCUGAUCACCAUCAUCACAGCCAAGAAGGACAUUGGCCAGCCAUCCCUGGCACCCUUGGGGACUGGCGACCCUUCCCUGACCCGACCCUCUGCCCCCUCAGAGGCCUUGCCACCAGAUGCACUCAUCAGCAAGAUCGCCAUCCAGGGCUCCCUAGCUGUGGGUCAGAACUGGUUAUUGGAUGAGCAAACCAGCACCCUCACAAGGCUGCGCUACUCUUACCGGGUCAUCUGCAGUGACAACUACUAUGGAGACAACUGCUCCCGCCUGUGCAAGAAGCGCAAUGACCACUUCGGCCACUAUGUGUGCCAGCCAGAUGGCAACUUGUCCUGCCUGCCCGGUUGGACUGGGGAAUACUGCCAACAACCUAUCUGUCUUUCGGGCUGUCAUGAACAGAAUGGCUACUGCAGCAAGCCAGCAGAGUGCCUCUGCCGCCCAGGCUGGCAGGGCCGGCUGUGUAACGAAUGCAUCCCCCACAAUGGCUGUCGCCACGGCACCUGCAGCACUCCCUGGCAAUGUACUUGUGAUGAGGGCUGGGGAGGCCUGUUUUGUGACCAAGAUCUCAACUACUGCACCCACCACUCCCCAUGCAAGAAUGGGGCAACGUGCUCCAACAGUGGGCAGCGAAGCUACACCUGCACCUGUCGCCCAGGCUACACUGGUGUGGACUGUGAGCUGGAGCUCAGUGAGUGUGACAGCAACCCCUGUCGCAAUGGAGGCAGCUGUAAGGACCAGGAGGAUGGCUACCACUGC